UUGCCUCUCUCUCAUUGGCUCUCGACGGAGAUGGACGGCGGGGAAGGCAGAGGGGCGAGGAUAGGAAUGGGCGGGAACAAGAAUGGGCGGGAACAAGGAGUGGGCGUGGCCUCGUCUGAGGGAGCGGGGCGGGGUUGUGUGUUCUGUAAGCCAGUCGAAGGUUGCGUGUGUGGUCUGCUGGUGCUUUUAUUUUUUUCCCUCAUUCUGUUUUCUGAGAAAAUCAUACACUGACUUGUGAUCUCUCAGUAUGAUUGAGGCCAGAGCAGUAUCUUUCAUGUCCUAGCCCUUGGCAGCUUACCCCAGUGGAACACAUGGUUUUUUAUUAACAGGAGAUUAUUUUAUGUGAGUUGUUCCUGUUGGACAAUGGCUACAUAGGAAAAUGAAUCAGUUCCACUGGAAUUGUAACUUCCCAUGGACUCUCUAUCAAUUCUCCUAAACAAUCCACAGGAGGAGAGGUGGCUGACAUCUUCAGGGCAGGUGAAAGAAAUGUAUUCAAGAGGCUCGGAGCACAGGCAGCAAUGGAAAUAGGCACCCCUAUUGUCAGACCUAAAAGGAUUCACAGAUUGAAAAAGAAAAGCCUGCACUAACUUGUUCAGGACGUGUUUGUGCACUGUAUUUGUAUGCGUGUCCCUUUGCCAGUUUCAGGAGGCAAGGGCAGUGUUGUUUGGAUAGGAACCCAAACUGUUUCCUGUGAAUCCAGGUCAAGGCAGGAUUUGCAUUCUGUGCUCACGCCUGGCUUGUUGGCACUGAUCAGGAAAGAGAAAAAAGCCAGAAUCUGUCUGCAAAGCAGUAGAGAAGAGAGUUACUAUUGCUGCAGGAGGCUGGCUAGUCCAGACACGAGAGAUGCAGGCACUGUGCCUUGCCACCUCCUCUGACCUUCCACUCUGGGGAGAAAGGAAGCUUGAAAGGUCGGCAGUUUUCCCAUGGCAUAGACUCAAAGAUUCUCCAUUAAGGGCUGAACUAAGGCUACUUAAAAGUCGGUCCCUGAGUCACCACCUUUCCUUCCACCAAGCAGAAGUGUGCAUCAGUUUUGUUUACAAGUGUCCUUGGAAGAAACAUCCAUUUUCUGUAGCACAGAACUGCUCCUAAGUGGCAGGUCUUCCUGCAGUAAAUGAACACUGCCUUUGCACUCUGUUUCAGUUUUGAUGAGCCAGUUUGUAUACCACAGAAAGCAAUGUGAGGGAUGCUGCAUGCAUUUCAAAGCAGAAUUGCAACUGCUUUCUUCAGUCCAGGUGUUCAAUAUUUCUGAUGGAAAUUUCUACAGCCAUUUCUGUUGCUAUUUCCUUUAGAUGUUUUUUGAAGUAUAUCUUUGUGCUGAAGGGAUUGCUUAAAAUUAGCAGUGGUUGCCUUGUUGUUUUAUGUUAAUCUGUGUCAUUUUAUCUCUGACGUUUCCACCUGAAUUCUCUUCACUGUUUGUCAUAUUUGUUACGUGAUGUAGUAUGGAAUCAUUAUCAGAUAUUCCAUCAGAAACAAAAUAACAGCAAGUUAAUCUUUUUGUUUUGUUCUUCUCUGCUCAGUUUCAAGAAGUCUCUGCAGUGAAUAAAUUUUGCUCUAUCCAGGAAAGCGAUGUGUAUUUUCCUGGUCACUCUGAAGUACACUCUGUUCCUUGACACAAAGCUGGAAGCUCUCUGCCUGUGGUUCUUGACUGAGAGCUGACAGUUCGUGCCCAAUAUUACACCUGGACAGUGCAGUGCUGUUCCUAGACCUGAAGAGCAAAUAAUUAACAGAGUUUUUGUACAGAUGUACUGUAAAUAAGUUAGCUAAACAGCAACUCGUGUGCUACAGUUUGGACCUCUGACUACUGGGAACUGCAAUGUUCCUAACCCUGUGCACCCACGUUGUCCUCAUCAGAGGUUACCUUCUUCACUUGUUGCCUGCCAUGGCAAAAGGAACCAGCCAAAGAGCUGUCACAUUUCUGACCUCAGAAUCAGGAAGAAAAGCCUUUCUGAGAGCUGGAGUGUGGGAGCUCCCCACACCUAUGCCAGCAGGGCUGUGCUGUGACUGUGCUCUGGGCUCACAAAGUGCUCUUGCAGCCAUGUCCAGGAUCACCUAGGCUCUGCCCUCGCUGCAAGGAUAAGGCCACAGGGAGGGACUAAACACCUUCAUGUUUUUCUACCCAGUAAUGAAACCAGUCCAGAGGGAGUGGGGAAGAAGUAAAGUACCCCACAGGUGAUGGAAAAAGCCGUAAGCCUGCUCAGUAGGCUGAGUUUUGUCUGGAACACUGGGAAAGCUGUUAGAGCUCUUCACAGAGGUCUGGGUGUGUGAGGAACCUGAGUGCUGGGCUGAGAAGAGAUGGUAUCAAGCUUUCUUACAGCUGGGAAUUGCUGGAAAUACCUCUUUCUGCAAAGAAGUUCUCAACAGCUGCAAGUAUAAGACAGGCAGAAACAAUAGUUAAGAGAAAGUGAAUUUGGAUUUGCCUUACCUAUCCAGGCUGUCCUAACAGAGGCAAUGCAUUUGUAUUUUAUAUAUGGUGUUUAUAAUGCAAACACCAGAUGCUGUUUAUCUUUGUCUUGAAGUGAAGGUGAUUAUGCUGAAUAGAAACGGGAUGGGAUGAAAUAAGCUCCUAUAUAAAGGCCAAGCAGUUUGACUUGGGAGUAAAUACUGGCUGUAGGACCAGAAAUACAGGCUUAAAUCCAAGUUACAUUCUUCCUUUCUUUUCUCUUCUUUCUUUAUUUCUUUUCCUUUUCUUUAAUUUUCUCUCUUCCCUUCUUUCCUUCCUUCCUUCUUUCACUCUGAUGUGCUUUGUGUUAUUUACAUAGUGUCAGGUGACUCAUGCAAAUGAAAUCUCUCUCUGAGGCCAUCAAACAUGACCACAAAAAUGACGAGGCAAGUGCUGGAAGGG